rnacentral:rRNA from 1 species
GACGAACGCUGGCGGCGUGCUUAACACAUGCAAGUCGAACGAUGAAGGAGGAGCUUGCUCCUCUGGAUUAGUGGCGAACGGGUGAGUAACACGUGAGCAAUCUGCCCUUGACUCUGGGAUAAGCGCUGGAAACGGCGUCUAAUACCGGAUACGACCCUCGGAGGCAUCUCCUGUGGGUGGAAAGAACUUCGGUCAAGGAUGAGCUCGCGGCCUAUCAGCUUGUUGGUGAGGUAACGGCUCACCAAGGCGACGACGGGUAGCCGGCCUGAGAGGGUGACCGGCCACACUGGGACUGAGACACGGCCCAGACUCCUACGGGAGGCAGCAGUGGGGAAUAUUGCACAAUGGGCGCAAGCCUGAUGCAGCAACGCCGCGUGAGGGACGACGGCCUUCGGGUUGUAGACCUCUUUUAGCAGGGAAGAAGCGAGAGUGACGGUACCUGCAGAAAAAGCACCGGCUAACUACGUGCCAGCCGCCGCGGUAA